CCCAAAGCUGCGCUCCCGCUAAUCUCCCUGCGCCUCAAGUGACCGAAGUGGCGCAAAAUCUCCUUAACACUAAACGGAAUAAAGUUUUUUUCUUUUUCUUUUUCUUUUUUUUUUUAACAGGAAAUCCUCAGAGUGUAACGUUUGCUUCACGUCGGUGAAACAAUGGAUGGAAGAUUCUUUUGAUGGGGACUGAAGAACAACGGAUGCAAGGGUCGAUGAAAAGAUUUGUGAGAUCAGUCAUUGAUGCAGCACAGCUGACCUCAGCCAGAGCCAACACUGUGCCAGGGUAUGAGACGAUAAAUUUGUGCAAACACACACACAAAGAAAGGGAGAUAAACACACACUCAUCGUUUGAAUGGGGCAUACUCAUUUCUUCACAUUAAGUAGAAGUUUCACUCAUCUGUUCAUGUCAUGUCUUACUGCUCCACUUUCACAUCACCCAUCAGUUAGUCCAGCACACACACACACACACACACACACACACACACACACACACACACACACACACACACACACACACACACACACACACACACACACUUCACUGAACAUCAGCCAUCACCUUCUCUGACAGACACCUAAAUGUACAUCUUCACAUUCAUGCAGUCUUACAUCUCACAUCAGAUUACCCCAGAUUCACACACAUCCGCACACACACAAGUCAUCACACAUCAGUUAUGUGUUUUAAGCUGAAGGAGAGAAGGGCCUGUUGGUAACGGGAUGGGUUGACAGGGUAGAAGAGGAAGUACACAGGAAGUACAUUAGUUAUCACUCCUCUGUCUUCUCCACCUUUUCACUUCCUAUCACCAACAGACGUCUCAGACACGGGACGAGCUACUUCUUCUCAUCCCACCCCUGUCCUCCCCUCUCUCUGCCUCUUCUCUUUCUAACACACACGCCUUUAAAAAUGACUUCCGUGCUCCAUUUUAACGUCCCUGGGAUGUAGAUGACACUUAGCGAGCUGCAAAGGCUGCAAGACAACCCCAUGAAAUAUUUGAAUAAAAUAUGGCAUGCUAUAAGAGGUGAAAAUGAAGGGGGAAUAAACGAUGGGAAAAAAAUGAAUACAAGACAAAGGAUGAGCAAAGGAGAGUGACAUGACAUUACUCAGAGGAUGAGUGGAAAGGAAGGACAGGAAAUGCAGAUGGACUGCUUGAGCUCACAAUAAACUGAGCAGAUUACCUGUAAACCAGUUUACUGGACUGUUGUAUGACAUCACAUUGCUCAUCAUAACAGCUCAGCAAAUUUUAUGACUUUGUAAAUUAACUCUUUUUGACAUUUCUGUCAACAGAAGUCCUUGUAACCACACUACGGACUAAAUUAGAUGUCAAUCCCUACAUGGCAACAUGCUGAGUGAGGGUUUCUUUAAGCAUGCAUUUCUGCUACUCUAAAAAUUGUAGUUUAAGAAAAUAAUGUGUUGUUUUUAUUUUAAGUCUCUGGAGCACCAAAUCUCAUUUAGAAGCUCAUUUCAUUUAGAAGAAAAAGGAAAAGUCAGAAUAUUAUCUCUUAUUUUAGUUAAUUCUGAAGAAAAACUGUCAUAAAUAGCAAAAAUGUUAGGCCCAAAUUGUUCAUCUAGAAUCUUUUGGGUUUCCAUUAGGACCCCAGCCAGCUGAAGUAGUUGGUGUAUUGUGCUACUGUACUUGUUAGUAAUCGAUCUUAGAGCCACUGACGUCUGCUUGACUUUAAUGCUGAUUUCAUGUGAUUAGCUAAAGACAUCCAGUAUAGUCCUGGUGGUGCUAAAUGAAGUUGCUCAUUGGAGUUCUUCAUCAUAUUUUAUAAAUAUGUAGAUCUUACCAUUUUAGUUCAGAAGUCUCAGGAUUUUAUUACAUGGUUUGAAAUGAUGAAAACAGCAGCUUCCAAGACCAUUUCUCACUGCUGUGUAUGAAUCUGAAACAAACUAAAAAAGGAUUUCUGGCCAGAAAUGAGCUGAACAUUGGUGAUGAGUUGCUCUGACAACGUUUGAGGCUUGCAGACUUAUGAUGACGAUGGAGAAGAAAUGUAAAAUCAGGACAGACAGCAUCAGCAGAAAUCAACAAAGGAACUUGCCGUCGUCUUUUUUUUUACAUUUUGUGCUUCUUUAGGCUUUCAACUUUC